rnacentral:rRNA from 1 species
GGAAACUGAGGAUAAUACUGGAUAGGCAAUUAUUCCUGCAAUGGUUUUUUGUUUAAAUGUUUUUUCGCCUAAGGAUGGGUCUGCGGCCGAUUAGGUAGUUGGUUAGGUAAUGGCUUACCAAGCCGUUGAUCGGUACGGGUUGUGAGAGCAAGAGCCCGGAGAUGGAACCUGAGACAAGGUUCCAGGCCCUACGGGGUGCAGCAGGCGCGAAACCUCCGCAAUGUGAGAAAUCGCGACGGGGGGAUCCCAAGUGCCAUUCUUAACGGGAUGGCUUUUCAUUAGUGUAAAGAGCUUUUGGAAUAAGGGCUGGGCAAGACCGGUGCCAGCCGCCGCGGUAACACCGGCAGCUCUAGUGGUAGCAGUUUUUAUUGGGCCUAAAGCGUCCGUAGCCGGUUUAAUAAGUCUCUGGUGAAAUCCUGUAGCUUAACUGUGGGAAUUGCUGGAGAUACUAUUAGACUUGAGACCGGGAGAGGUUAGAGGUACUCCCAGGGUAGAGGUGAAAUUCUGUAAUCCUGGGAGGACCGCCUGUUGCGAAGGCGUCUAACUGGAACGGUUCUGACGGUGAGGGACGAAAGUUAGGGGCGCGAACCGGAUUAGAUACCCGGGUAGUCCUAACCGUAAACGAUGCGGACUUGGUGUUGGGGUGGCUUUGAGCUGCUCCAGUGCCGAAGGGAAGCUGUUAAGUCCGCCGCCUGGGAAGUACGGUCGCAAGACUGAAACUUAA